rnacentral:rRNA from 1 species
CUACCCUGAACGCGCCCGAUCUCGUCUGAUCUCGGAAGCAAAGCAGGGUCGGGCCUGGUUGGUACUUGCAUGGGAGACCGCCUGGGAAUACCAGGU